GGUGGUAACCUAACUGCAACAUCAAAUGGAUAUCUUUUAUCUUCUUGACAGAGCUGCAGCACUUGACAUGUGCACCACUCCCAUAAUGACACUUUAUUGUAACUAUACGAUAACAAAACUCUCGGUCAUCCUGCCACCUUUUUGACUAUUCACCUCACAGACAAAGAAAAAGAACCACCUGCAAGUGGCCUUUAAGUACUUAAAGUGUUCAGUGUUCCUAACCAUCAAGGAAUUUAAGCCAACUUCAAUUAACAGAUGCAACAUCCAAACCACACUUUGAAGAAACAAUAAAGAUCAAAUAGAAAAAGAUUUUAGUGUAGUACCU